GAUAAAUUUUCUGUGUGCUGUAUUUUUCUACUUGAACUAGUAAUUUUCUGCACCUGUGUUCCCACAAACCGGUGUGCUGCAUUUGCACACCAUGGUCAUGAAAGUUUUUCGUGUCUCUAUAACAAUAUAUUCAUGUUGAGUUUCUUCAGAAUUAAGUUCCCUGAAUGUUCAGAUGUCAAUUUUUUUUCAUGAAGGUAUAUAUCUGUUCACCCUCGUCCAUAUAUGUGGUCUGUGUAUGUGGUGAGGGAGAUGCCAUUUUCCACCCUAGGCACGAUUUCCUGUUGUCAUGUGCAUAAGGUAGAUUAUAUUCACUUCAGUCUGCUCUGCAGUGUCCAUUGUCCACUUGAAAUUCAGCAAAACCUUGUUCUUGUGCUCAUUUUUGAAUUAAGGAAGGGAAGAACGAUAACUCUCACUGCCGUGCAUUGUCGUGGAUUGCCGUCGAGUUCUGCUCGUGCGCGGGCUGUCAUUGAGAUGCAAAAGCAGUGCAAGUCAAGUUGGAAGAAGCAGAGGCAUUUUACACAUUGUGUAAUAUUGUCAUUUCAGUAUAUAGACAAAUUGAUUACAAACUAACUCUUAUAUGAAUUUUCUUUUUAAAUCCUAAUAGCAUGAUAAGUGCUAUGCAUUGUCUUGAUGAAGUUCUUCAUCUCCUCCAAUUCCUGCAGCACCUCCUCUAGAUUGUCACCUUCAAUCAUCUUAGUUAGCACCUCCUAUGUAUUCUCACAAUGGUCGUCAGUUUUGAAGUGCUGAACCCCAGACCCACAGGAUUAUUGUCUGUUGCAUGUUGCUCUCCUCUCAAGCUUUUCCAAUGGACUGCAGAUUGGGAUAGCACCAAAUAUUAAUAUAAAUUUAGGGAUAGCACCAAAUAUUAAUAUAAAUUUAAUUUCCUCAGUUCAAAUCAUUCUCAUUAGUACAUUACCCGUUGUGUGGGUCAUAAUAAAACCCACUAACAGAUAUACUAGAAAGUAUUGCUCUUUACUUCUCUACAAGUAGCAUAAAAAAAUUCAGAAUAAUGAUAGGUGUUAAAAUUCAGUACUGUACUAGAAUAACUCAGUAAGAGCAUCACCAAGAGUAUCCCAAAAUUUUGUUUAUGGGAAUCUUAAAUAAAAUUUAAGGUGUUAAAAUAUUGAGCCCUCCAAGAGAUUGGCUAAAAUUGACUCCCUAAAUCUAAAAAGUGGUCCCUCUACAAAACUACCAACUGAAAUCUGUUUCAGGCUCUCCCUCCUGUGAGAUUAUCACGCUCGCCCGUGUGACCAUUGAUCGCGGGAACCACUUGGUGGUCACCUCCCUGUCACCCCUCUCCACGCAGUAGCACGUCAGCAAAUCUGAUCCUGCAAACAAUCAAGCAGAACCACUACAAGUAGCAGCAUCAGCAAAGUCCCUAAUUACCAACCAGAACCAACAACAUCGUACCAUUUUCAACAAUAGCAGAUCAGUAGCGUCAACUCAGAUCAGCAAACGUCGUUCAAAAAAAAAUUCAGAUCGGCAACAGCAUGGCAAUUAGCAAUAGCAUGGCAAGCAACAAGCAGCAGAUCACAACUAGCAGCAGGUCAGUAGCAUCAACAACAGCACAUCAUCAGCAACACCAACAUCAACUUUCAACACCACCACCGGCACCAACAACAUUAUUCAGUACCAACUGUAGAAUUCGUAGUAGCAGAUUAGCAGCGCCAAAACUAGCAAGCACUAGCAGAUACCUUCGCUCAUCUCCAUCAUCGAGAGACCAAUCCCGAUUUGAGGAGAAACCAACUCGGGCCGAUGGAAGUUCGCCUGGCUGUAGUGGAGAUGGUGCCGCUGCCGCCGCCAGAGCAGGAACUAUCGACGCCGAGAAAGCUCUAGGCAGCGGCGCGCGCGUGAGAUGUGGGCACCUGUAGGACACCUCGAUGCGACGGCGAACAACCUCGUGAUGAACCCCCUGUCGAGAACACUUCACGUGCGCGUGGGAAUUCGCACGACGGCACGAGAGAGGGAGAUUGGGAGCGAGCGCCUCUCCCUACUUGUGGAGAACGAAAAAUUCGGUUUUUGAACUAUUGGGCGCUUGGCUAGGGAUUCUGUUGGACUGGGUUUUUGAACGAAAAUCUCCAAAUUUCAGGAUAACCAUAUACAGAUAUUGUUGGUGAUGCUCUAAGGAACUAAAGAUACAAAAUCAUCGAGAGUACAAUGCAGCAGCCACAACAACUCAGUUCUCGGAGCAUUUCUCUUGGCAAUUAAGAGAACAGCAGCAGCUCCAGCCUUGACUGCUAAGGAGGAAAGGGAUUUGGAGGUCUUCAGAGAGGCUCACCGCAGGAUCGAUGGGGAAGAGGAAGACCAGAUUCAAGCUCAUGAGCCGCCUCUGCCUCCACCGUUGUGUCUCCUCACUCAACUAUUCGACUGGCCCGAGCUCGUCGUCGCUCUAUCAAUCUCCACGCGCCGUGCAGCCUCCCCCCUCCUCCAUGGAUCUGGUUUGGAUCUAGACCAUUUGGUGUUGAAGUGGAGAUGUAGCAACGUGAGAAAAGAGGAAAUUUAAAGGAUGUAUAUGAAAUUGUACACAGCAUGGUGCGGGGGGCAUUUCAUAAAAUGUAACGUGGGGACGGUUGGG
rnacentral:lncRNA from 1 species